AGCCUCUGUGAAAUCGCACUGAAUAAGAAUUAUAGAAAUUCUGAACCCCAUCACAAGAUCAACUUUAACAUGUAGAAAUCUUGCAUCUCUGAACAAACCUAAAGGUCAAGCAAGGCUUACAAACAUUCACAAGCUGAAGUGGUAUAAGAAUUCAGUGCAUGAAAGAGUAUUUGAAUGAACUGUAAGCAAGUAUAUAUGUUUACCUGCUUGUCCAUAUAGGUGUAAAACUGGGUGUGUAAGCCAAAGCAACAUCACUGGUUCCAAGUUUUUGCACCCCCAUGUGUACACCUUAUGCACUUGCAAGAACACAGCAGUUUCGUUCACUUGGCUUACUUGUGGCUCCAAGGUGUGUCAGCAAGCAUACGUUUAUGCAAAUUACUGUUUGCUUGAGGGUAAACAGGCAGGCCAACUGCAUCCUGAACGUUUAUUUAUUUAUUUACCAUUUUAACGUCUGGCACAUGCAGCUGUGUUUUCUGUACUUCUGUGUUUUACUCAACUUUUUGUUUGUUUGCUCAUUGCCACUCCUGGAAAGCAUUAACUCCUUUUUAGCACUGAAAACAUGUGCUUCAGGUAGGUGUAAUGUAGGUGCAACCAAACAGCUCUAGUGCCAAGAACAUGCAACUAAAUUAAGUGAACAAAUUUGACCCUAAGUAGACCAGAUUCUAGUAAUAUUAGUGCAUACUUAAUACACACACGUAUGCGUAUGUACAUGUAUGUAUGUAUGUACACACACAUAUUU
ensembl:lncRNA